CGCCCUCGUUAUCGUGACAUCCGCCAAGAUUGCACACGAUUUCGGGGGCGUUUGUUUUU
rnacentral:antisense_RNA from 1 species